rnacentral:rRNA from 1 species
UAAGCGUGCGCAGGCGGUUAUAUAAGACAGAUGUGAAAUCCCCGGGCUCAACCUGGGAACUGCAUUUGUGACUGUAUAGCUGGAGUGCGGCAGAGGGGGAUGGAAUUCCGCGUGUAGCAGUGAAAUGCGUAGAUAUGCGGAGGAACACCGAUGGCGAAGGCAAUCCCCUGGGCCUGCACUGACGCUCAUGCACGAAAGCGUGGGGAGCAAACAGGAUUAGAUACCCUAGU